GCAGUAGGAGCCCCUACGUAGGCCCUGCAAGAGGCCUGGCGUUCAGGAAAGGGCCCGCUGACCAUCCAGUGCAGGGAAAGGAGUCCAGCUCUGGCCUCUGCCCCUCAGCUCCACCUCCUGCAUUCCUAGGAGUUCUCCAGAGGAUCUGAUGGGAGCUCAGAACCGGUCCCAACAGCUCCCUCCACCCUUCAUGAACGGGGGCUGGAAAAUGUGGUCUGCUCUGAUAAGGAUUUGCGUCAGGCUACUGGCUACUCAGCAGCCGAGAAGAGCAAGCCUCCAGGCCUCUGCACGCGUGCCUUCUGCCCGAGACGAUGGAUUCAUGGAGUUACUGUGAGGAAGACACUCAGCAUCGUGCCUGGUAUCGUGUGUGCUUCAUAAACGCCAGCCAUAGCAUGAUUCUUUAUAAAGGCACCAGCUGCAUUUAUGGAGUAAAUGCCUUUCUUGUGUCAUCUCGCUUGACUGGCAAAGCCAUAAGGCCAGGUGAGGAAGAUGAGGCAGGGGAUGAAGAGGAUAUAACACGUAGGAGGUGAAGUCACUAACCCAAAUCCUUGCAGCCGGCAAGUGGUCAGAAUUCUUGGACCAGGUGUGAGGCCUUAAGAGAACAAGCUAGCCCAGGGCUUGGCAUGAAGUAGGUGCUUAAUAAAGAUUGGUUUUAGCCAGGCGCAGUGGCUCAUGCCUGUAAUCUCAGCACUUUGGGAGGCUGAAGCAGGAGGAUCACUUGAGCCCAGGAGUUCCAGACCAGCCUGGGCAACACGGCUAAUCCCUGUCUCUACUAAAAAUACAAAAAGAUUAGUCGGGUGUGGUGGCGCGUGCCUGUAAUCCCAGCUACUCGGGAGGCUGAGGCAGGAGAAUAGCUUGAACCUGGGAGGUAGACUUUGCAA
rnacentral:lncRNA from 1 species